rnacentral:rRNA from 1 species
UACGUAGGUGGCAAGCGUUGUUCGGAUUUACUGGGCGUAAAGGGCGCGUAGGCGGCCUCCGCAAGUCGACUGUGAAAUCUCCGGGCUUAACCCGGAAAGGUCAACCGAUACUGCGGGGCUAGAGUGCAGAAGGGGCAACUGGAAUUCUCGGUGUAGCGGUGAAAUGCGUAGAUAUCGAGAGGAACACCUGCGGCGAAGGCGGGUUGCUGGGCUGACACUGACGCUGAGGCGCGAAAGCUAGGGGAGCGAACGGG